AUAGAAAUGUAUGUGCAUAUGCAUGUGUUUAUACAUAUGUGUGUGUGUGUGUGUGUGUAUGUGUGUAUAUAUAUAUACACACAUAUAUAAAUACAUAUGUGUAUAUAUACAUACAAAC
rnacentral:miRNA from 12 species